UGGCCUGAAAUGAUGAUUAGGAAUUCAUGUCUCUUCUCUGAAAUAAGCCAUGGAGAUGCUUGGAUCCAUUUCUGAUCAGGUCC
ensembl:snoRNA small nucleolar RNA, C/D box 111B